rnacentral:rRNA from 1 species
UACGGGGGGGGCAAGCGUUGUUCGGAAUUACUGGGCGUAAAGGGCUCUUAGGUGGUCAACUAAGUCGGACGUGAAAUCCCUCGGCUUAACCGGGGAACUGCGUCCGAUACUGGAUGACUUGAGUUCGGGAGAGGGAUGCGGAAUUCCAGGUGUAGCGGUGAAAUGCGUAGAUAUCUGGAGGAACACCGGUGGCGAAGGCGGCAUCCUGGACCGACACUGACGCUGAGGAGCGAAAGCCAGGGGAGCAAACGGG